CCCUUAGAUGUUCUGGGCCGCACGCGCGCUACACUGGUGCAUUCAACGAGUCUAAAACCUGCUCUGAUAGGGGUGGGUAAUCUUUUGAAUGUGCAUCGUGAUUGGGAUAGAUGAUUGCAAUUUUUCAUCUUCAACGAGGAAUGCCUAGUAAACGCAAGUCAUCAGCUUGCAUUGAUUACGUCCCUGCCCUUUGUACACACCGCCCGUCGCUCCUACCGAUUGAAUGAUCCGAUGAAUAUCAUGGAUUGAGGAUGCAAGUAGGUUAGCCUAUCUUCAUCUUCGAGAAGUGAAGUAAAUCUUAUCAUUUAGAGGAAGGAGAAGUCGUAACA
rnacentral:rRNA from 1 species